CAACGUCCUCAUGCCUCCUUUCUCGGCCGGUGUAGCCUGGUGUUAGUUAUCCCCCCCGCGCCCCAUCAGAUAAGCCGCGGUUCCUUUCGGUGAGUUUUCAUCUUUAUGAUGAGAUUACACUAAGUCGCAGACCGUCUGGGUUGUCAUCACGAUGUCUGCGUCAGGCCAAGCCAGCCUGGACCUCGCCUGUCAGGUGGAAAUGUUACAGUCGGCAGCCGGGAGCAAGUGCUAAUGGGUACCUGGUGGCUUUACUUCUACAAACAACUGCGAUCUUGUUUCCACCAACCGCGCUAAUACAGGAAGGAAAAGAGCUACCUCCUUUUGGAUGAAGCCUAACAAGCAACCAAUCCAACACAGAAAAUGAAGGAACAUUUUUGACCCAAUUUGCUCUUCAUAAGACCAGAAAAGCACGACGUAGCUAUGAGAAGAUGCAAUUAUUUUUCACUCCUGCGCAUAGGUCUACUUCAAAGGGAAAGGUAAUUUCCUGUUUUUAUACUUAUAUAAACAAGAAUGAAGAGAAACAGUAACUCAUGCUGCUUAUA